GGUGGCGUGACUGGCGUGCCCUGUCUGCAAUCCUCCCUUUCAGUAAGCCCCAGGACCGAGGCGUUCAGGUGGCGUGACUGGCGUGAAUUCGGCGUGCCCUGUCUGCAAUCCUGCCUUUCAGUAAGGGGCAGUAAGGACAAGAUCCACCCACCACCCAGUGCAUGCUACAUAUGUGUGUGUAAUAAAUUGAGAGGGAAAGUGUGUGUGACAAAUGAAAUUUA